rnacentral:rRNA from 2 species
GGUUAAGCGACUAAGCGUACACGGUGGAUGCCCUGGCAGUCAGAGGCGAUGAAGGACGUGCUAAUCUGCGAUAAGCGCCGGUAAGGUGAUAUGAACCGUUAUAACCGGCGAUUUCCGAAUGGGGAAACCCAGUGUGAUUCGUCACACUAUCAUUAACUGAAUCCAUAGGUUAAUGAGGCGAACCGGG